GAUGAACGCUGGCGGCGUGCCUAAUACAUGCAAGUCGAGCGAACAGACGAGGAGCUUGCUCCUCUGACGUUAGCGGCGGACGGGUGAGUAACACGUGGAUAACCUACCUAUAAGACUGGGAUAACUUCGGGAAACCGGAGCUAAUACCGGAUAAUAUAUUGAACCGCAUGGUUCAAUAGUGAAAGACGGUUUUGCUGUCACUUAUAGAUGGAUCCGCGCCGCAUUAGCUAGUUGGUAAGGUAACGGCUUACCAAGGCAACGAUGCGUAGCCGACCUGAGAGGGUGAUAGGCCACACUGGAACUGAAACAAGGUCCAGACUCCUACGGGAGGCAGAAGUAGGGAAUCUUCCGCAAUGGGCGAAAGCCUGAAGGAGCAACGCCGCGUGAGUGAUGAAGGUCUUCGGAUCGUAAAACUCUGUUAUUAGGGAAGAACAAAUGUGUAAGUAACUAUGCACGUCUUGACGGUACCUAAUCAGAAAGCCACGGCUAACUACGUG
rnacentral:rRNA from 1 species